AGCGAACGCUGGCGGCAGGCCUAACACAUGCAAGUCGAACGAACUCUUCGGAGUUAGUGGCGGACGGGUGAGUAACACGUGGGAUCGUGCCUUUUGGUUCGGAAUAACUCAGGGAAACUUGUGCUAAUACCGAAUGUGCCCUUCGGGGGAAAGAUUUAUCGCCAUUAGAGCGGCCCGCGUCUGAUUAGCUAGUUGGUGAGGUAACGGCUCACCAAGGCGACGAUCAGUAGCUGGUCUGAGAGGAUGACCAGCCACACUGGGACUGAGACACGGCCCAGACUCCUACGGGAGGCAGCAGUGGGGAAUCUUGUGCAAUGGGCGAAAGCCUGACGCAGCCAUGCCGCGUGAAUGAUGAAGGUCUUAGGAUUGUAAAAUUCUUUCACCGGGGACGAUAAUGACGGUACCCGGAGAAGAAGCCCCGGCUAACUUCGUG
rnacentral:rRNA from 1 species